rnacentral:rRNA from 1 species
GCUAAAGCUGUGGCAUGGGACGGGGUAGUACAGAGGGUGCGAGCGGUAAUGGGAAGUACUGGGCGUAAAGCGGACGUAGGUGGUGGGGUAAGUUGGAUGUGAAAUCCCCGGGCUUAACUUGGGAAUUGCAUUCAAGACUGCCGUGCUAGAGUGUGGAAGAGGGAAGCGGAAUUCCAGGUGUAGCGGUGAAAUGCGUAGAUAUCUGGAGGAACAUCAGUGGCGAAGGCGGCUUCCUGGUCCAACACUGACACUGAGGUGCGAAAGCGUGGGGAGCAAACAGGAUUAGAUACCCUAGUAGUC